UUCACCGAUUGUUGAUGACGGUCGCAGACAGAGCAGGUCAGUAGCUUAAUGUUGUUACUAGGAGGAGUACCUGCCAAGAUAAUAUAAUUUACUCCGGCGACCUGGUUUCAAAAGAGGGACGAACAAUAACAUAAACGAAUGAAGCUUAGGUAGUAUGAAAAACCUGCUAAGUAUACACGAAUUGACGGUGGUUCAGAAGCGUCUCUAACAUUGUUUUGAGGGCCUGUACCUUGCUACGGGAAAUCCUCGGGCUCGCCCGGUAGAUACCGGGCCGAGAACGCGCAGAGGACCAGGACGGAAGCUCCGUGGGCUAGUUAGAACGAUCAGGUUUUACGGAAGCUAGUGGCCCUAUUUUGUAGUUAAACGAAGACGUAACCUCUCCUGCUCCUUCGUGGCGGUUAUAAAUCAGCGUAACAUUAAGUCAAGACUCUUUCAGUUUGACAGCUAACGUUAGCUAACAUUAGCUCUCCUGUGUUUACAAGCUAACUCAAACGAGAUCCUCUGAAGAAGUUGGCACUUAGGUAUAUUUGUGUCAGUUAGGAUUUGCAUAUUUGGCUCGUACCACUUGCCUGCUAGCUGCUGGUGAUUUUAAGCUUGUUCUACUUUGUCUACGCCGACUGAAAGUCGCCAGCUAGGCAGCUUGAUCAGAAGGUCUGAAAGACAUUAUCCUGGAUGAAGGCUCACAGAGAAGUGUGGAUUUUGAUGCUGUCAGGACAUACAGGUGUCACCAGUUCUGCUUGGCAUUAUUAAUCUCACACCAGCAUCCAACAUCUGCUGAACCAGAAACAACUGACCUGCUGUUUCGCUCUCUUGAGCUAAUUUGCUCAAAAAGGAUCGUCUUCAAAACAGACCACAAUGAAUCGUUACCUUCCAGUGGCACGACAGCACUUCCUGGCUGCCCUUGCCAGCACCAGUGUGGUAGUAAAAACUGUAAGUGCAGUGGUGGUUCUCCUCUAUCUGUUGUCAUGGGCCGUUGACACUCCAUAUGCACUGGGGGUGACCCCGGGCUACCUCUUUCCACCCAACUUCUGGGUGUGGACACUGGUGACCCAUGGGGUGGUAGAGCUGCAUGUCUGGGGUGUGGCGGCCAAUGUGGGGACAGUUAUGGCCUGCGGGCGCCUGCUGGAACCUCUGUGGGGCGCUCUGGAGCUCCUGAUCUUUUUCGCAGUGGUCAAUGUCUCUGCAGGCCUCUUGGCAGGCUUCUGCUACUUCCUCACCUAUGUUGGCACUUUUGACUUGGACUUCUUGUUUGCUGUGCGUGUCCACGGAGCAGCCGGGUUCCUGGGAGGUGUCCUGGUGGCGCUGAAGCAGACUAUGGGGGAUACUACAGUGCUCAGAGUGCCACAGGUGAGACUCAAAGCAGCACCGGCUUUGGUCCUCCUCCUCCUGGCCUUACUGCGCCUGUCUGGGCUGUUCAACAGCUCUGCCUCCCUGGCUGCAUACAGCUACGGUGCCCUGUCCGGCUGGGUCUACUUGCGCUUUUACCAGAGGCACAGCCGGGGCCGCGGGGACAUGUCGGACCACUUUGCAUUUGCUAGUUUCUUCCCAGAGGCGCUGCAGCCGGCCGUGGGGCUGCUGGCGGGGCUGGUCCACUCCGCCCUGGUGAAGAUGAAAUUGUGCAGAAAGAUGGUGAAGAGAUAUGACGUGGGGGCACCCUCUUCCAUCACUAUCAGCCUGCCAGGCACGGACCCACAAGACGCAGAGAGGAGGAGACACGUCCAGCCUGAUGCACUUUCUGGUCUUUUCACGGGGUUUCCGCUUGACGAUUGCCAUCAAAGUAUCGAACAGAGAUAGAAAGUAAUUCAGAGAAAAGGAGACAGAAGGAGAGACUAGAAAGGAGACAGAGAGAAGAGAGACAGGAAGAAGGAGACAGAGGACGAGUCAGAAUGGGAGACCAGAAGAAAAGAGACAGGAAGGAGAAAGAAGACAAGAAUGGGAGACCAGAAGAAAAGAGACAGGAAGGAGAAAGAAGACAAGAGAGUUAAAGUACGGAAUGUAGAUGCCAUUUGAGGAAAUGGGAGAGGAAGAUGAGAACAUUUACAACCUCAGCCACCCAGACACACCUAUGACUGUGCUUGGAUAAACUUUAGGUAGUGGCACUGUCAUUGCCUUACUGCUCGGACCCCAGACCGUGGGAUGGCAUCAAGAGGGGGACUAUUGAAGAGUACUUCAGGCUUCUCACUGCCACCCUGGAGGAGCACGAGUUGAGGGAGAAGCCCCGUCAGAUCUACAACUGCAAUGAGACAGGGUUUCAGAUGGACUCAGCUAGGAGACAGGUCAUUAUCAUCAUGUGCCUGUUACCACACAUGUCCCACAUCCUGCAGCCUCUGGAUGUGAGUGUCUUCGGACCCUUGAAGGCAGAUUUCUCUGGUCUUAUCCCCAAUCUCCAGAAUCCACCUGCCCCUCCACCUCCCAGUCCCUACCUCACCCAUCCCCUGGUAACAUCUCCUGGCCGAGAUCAACUACGCCUGCAACACUGGCAAGGGCAGGAGGAAUGCCACCAAGACCAGGUUACUCUGCCAUUUACAGCUUUUCACUAAUAAAAUCUCAGGUUGUAGCCCAAGCUCUGCCCAGAAGAGACAGAGAGAGAGAGCGGGCUGAGAACACCAGCCCGGCAGCCACCUUUCUACUCUGCCUGCUGGCUCCCGCCCCGGCCGCAGAAGAAGAGUGCCCCUAGGGGCUGCUCCUGCCACCAGCUCCAGCCAUUCAUUGCCUGUCCCUCAGCCUGCUCUGUGCCCCUCUUGUGCCUCCCACAGUCACCGGCUGCCUGCCCCCAGCAGCACACCAUCCCAGUGAGCCUGCCUGCUCAGGAAAAUUGCCAUCUUUCCCCAUCUCCUGCCUCCCCACCCGCAGCAGAGCGCCUCCAGCACUUCUUUAUUGUCCAACUCCUCCUCGUCUGCUGGACCCAUGACAUCCACCGGUCACACCGCUGGAAAGAGAGGACAGGAGCCAACAGUUUAGUGGUGUGGCCGGUGCAGGAAACCUGACCCUUCGGAAAGUUCAGAGUGAUUGGUGUAGUGGGUCCACUGCCGCAAAUAGUUUCACACAAUUUGUGUGGGCUGAAAGGAGGAGCUUUUAUAGGAGACAAUUAUUUUUGGUGUUAUUGGUGUCUAGAUGUUUGAUUUUAUUUAUUUAUUUAUGUUUUCAUUUUUCGUCUUGUCUUAUUUAACAAAAUGUGUGUUAUCUAUUAAAUAUUUUCAUGACCUUUCAAUUAUUUUCUCUAGUCAUCUGUCUUUUGAUUCCAAAAAUUACCAAUUAUUGCUUGAACAUUUAUGUUUAUAGUUAUAGUAUAAAUCUUACUCUGCACUAAGUGUGUAUUAUAGGUAAUUGUUACAGUAAAAGGUAAAGUUUAAUGCAUCAGCAGGUAUUUUGCAAGGGAUUGAAAUGAGAAGAGAGUUUAACAAAACAUCUAGCAGGUGGUGCUACACACAUUAGUAGCUAAAGGGAAAUUUUAAUAGUAUGUUUGCUAAAAAGGAAACGGUUACGUUUGGGUUACCCUCACAAGGCUCAGCCUCUGGACCUGAGACAGACUUUUUGGACUCACCGAUAGCACCCUCACCCUGUAAAGCCCCAGUGCAUGCAUUGCUCGUCUCCCUUUUUUACUCAGCCAUCUUGAGGACAGUCACAGUUACUGUUCAGUCACUGUUCCCCUCGCCAGCUGGCUCGGUUAGGGUAAUUUAUGUUGAGCCUUGAGCUCUUUUAGCUCUGUCAGCACUGCUGCACAGUGAUGCUAUUGUUAGUGCGGCUCACUGCUAGCCACCGCCAUUUUGGCUCAGCCACCUUUGUGUUAGCUUGUGACGUCAGAGGUGAGAGGCGUGUGCGGGCAAUUCCAGCCAAGACACAAAAUGGCAACCACAACACUACAGCAGCCAGGUUGUGUUCCAGCCAAACUAGCCCGCAGCCCACUAGAGUGAGCGCUUCCUCAUCGGGUGGGAAACCCUCGUGCUCUGCAUUUACAGUGAAUGAGCAUCUCAUUAGCUAGCUGCUUGCUGCCAUUCCUCAAUGCGCGCGGUCCGAGCAGGGGGUACGCGAGCUAGCGGAAAUCACCGCCAUUUGGCUCAGCCACUUCCAUGUCUGCUUGUGGUGUCAAAGGUUGGAGCCGAGUACAUGCUAUCCCGACCAGCCUUGCGGCUCCAAAGGAAAAUGGUGACGAAAGACCCAGCUGGUCAGUGUUUUUUCUUCACUGAGUGUGCACAGUAGAGUAAGCAAGUAGUGGGUGCCUCUCCUAGCCCCAAAAGGAAAUUCACCCCGUCGUUCCCCAUGGCCGGCUCGCCGAGGGACGAAGCAAGGGAUGUGGCGUUGUCAUUGUUAGCUUUAGCCACUUCCCUGUGCUUUCUGCCAGGGCCCCCCCAUGUGCUCCCUCCCACGACGGGAGGGUCAGUUCUAGCUCUACCUCCCAUCGCCCUGCCUCUCACGGAUUGUUACUCGGUGUGUGCGGCUCGGUGGCUUCCUUUCCACUUGGCUAGACAGGGCACUGCGAAGGGGCUACGCAUUGCAAUUCUGCCGCAAGCCCCCUCCUUUCAGCGGCAUAAUUCAGACACCUCUCACCAUCCCCGCUGAAAGGGCGACCUUGGAGGAGAAACUGGCCACGCUCAUCUGAACGCUCCUGGAUGCGUUAGCCCACCAGGUUUGACCUCCCAGCCUGCUCUAUGCCUUCCCGCCCUCGCACCUGAUGAUGCAGCUGCUCCACAGAGUUCGGACACAGCAUCUGUCUGGGUGCCAGGUGGUUCUCAGACCUGGUUCAACUAGAAAUGGCAAUACUGGCCACAGAUCUGUGUCAGGCAGGGGGCGCCGUCUUCUCGCAUCUGAUCCUGGACCUUAGUCCCUGGUUUAGGGUUAUUUGCCUGAGGACUUUCUUCCCCCCUCCUCACGCUGACGGGGAGGAGGAGCGCCUGCACACUUUGUGUCCUGUGUGCAUACUCUGCUGUUAUGUGGAGCGCACGGUGGCUUUCAGGAAGUCCGACUGGCUGUUCGUCUGCCACAGCGGUCCGGCUCAAGGGGCCCUUCUGUUUGUGCAGUGGUUCACUCACUGAAUCUGUGAUGCAAUCUGCAGGAGUUAUGAGGCGAUGUAUUGCACUCCUCCGGUGGGCCUGAGGGAACACUCCACUAGGGGCAUUGCAUCCUCAUUGGUGCUUUUCAGGGGUGUCUCAGUGGAAGACAUCUGUCUGGCCGCCUCCUGGUCUGCCACUUCGACCUUUGCAGGACAUGUCUCAGGGCCAUGACUGCUGGUUCUGUGUCUCAUACAGUGCUUGGUCCACUGUCUCGGGGGACCUUGUCUGGAGCAGACUGAGGUGUUUUUUGAUAGCAUCCAGCUUUGCUGGUGUUAUUGCAGUCCGGCCGAGAACCUCAGGUGGGCUGUGCUCGGCCAUGGGACAACUGUCAUUUUUGGCUUUUGGCAGAGUUUGAACUAGUGCUGGUUUGGGCCCAACUGGGAGUACAUCUCAUCCAUAUGGCCUUCGCCUUAGGUUUUAAUCAAUAGCGAAGCCUGAUAGAGGGUGGAGCACAUACGAAAUAGAUAAUAGAUCAUCGUUACCUGGAUGUAACUUCAGUUAUGUGAACACAUUCGUAGCCCUCUAACCACAAGCCCAGCUGGUCCUAGUUGUUGUUGCUGAGCUUAAGUGGGAGACGAGCAAUAUCAUGCACUGGGGCUUUAUAGGGGGAGGAUGCAAGAAUUCUGUCUCCAGUGCCGAAGCAGAACCUCGUGAGGGUAAACCACAAACGAAGCCCGUUAGAGGGCGGAGCACAUACUCAUAGAACUGGACUUACAUCCAGGUAACUACAAUUUUUAUUUACUCAGGGAAGGUUUGCUGAGCCUCUGUGCUUUUUUUCAGUCAUACUCUUCAAACAGUUCUUAGCUCUACAACACACAAACGUUUAUGCACACACUCACUAACACCUACUCUCAAGCUGUCAGAGGUUAUUUUUCCUCCUGGUCCACUGUAUAGCAGACACACUUCCAAGCUGUCAUACAAAUUCAAUUACAGAUAGAUGUCACUGCUCUCUCUCUCACUCACACACACACACACACACACACACACACACACCCACACCUGUGCUUCUGUAAUUGUCAUAGGGUAAUUUUACUUUUCUUUUUUGAUAUCUCAGUGUUUAGUGUGUGGGGAAAAAAGGUUUGGGCAUCCCGGUAGCCUAAUGAUUAAGUUGCAUACCACAUAACCACAGCGUCGUAGGUUUGAGGUUUGGGGGACCUUUGUUGCAUCUCAUACCCCUUUCUCUCCCUAUGUUUUCUGUGUAUCUACACUGAUUGUCGAAUAAAGUAAAAAAAAAAAAAAAAAAAA